AACGCACAUUGCGCCCCUUGGUAUUCCGGGGGGCAUGCCUGUUCGAGCGUCAUUGCAACCCUCAAGCUCUGCUUGGUAUUGGGCGCCGCGGCCUCCUUCCGGGGGGGCGGCGCGCCCGUAAGUUAGUGGCGGUCCAGGGAGACUUCAAGCGCAGUAGAACCUUUCGCUUUCGAGGUGUCGCCUGCGGCCCGGCCGUAAAACCCCCCAUUCUUUCAAUGAUUGACCUCGGAUCAGGUAGGGAUACCCGCUGAACUUAA
rnacentral:misc_RNA from 1 species